CAGCAGCCGCGGUAAAACGAAGGGUGCAAGCGUUAAUCGGAAUUACUGGGCGUAAAGCGUGCGUAGGCGGUGAGUUAAGUCUGCUGUGAAAUCCCCGGGCUCAACCUGGGAAUGGCAGUGGAUACUGGCUCGCUAGAGUGUGUCAGAGGAUGGUGGAAUUCCCGGUGUAGCGGUGAAAUGCGUAGAGAUCGGGAGGAACAUCAGUGGCGAAGGCGGCCAUCUGGGACAACACUGACGCUGAGGCACGAAAACGUGGGGAGCAAACAGGAUUAGAUACCCCAGUAGUCCCUGUCUCUUAUAC
rnacentral:rRNA from 1 species